CUCUCCAUGACCACAGCGAUGCUCCUCCACUGGUGCUCCGGUGAUGCUCCGUCGCUUCCUCAGGAGGAAUGAGGCCCACUGUGCCCGUGUGAGCUGACCCCUCCUGCAGGGCCCGUUUGUGACAUACGUGGACCUGUCAUUGUUACGUCAUAAUGCAGUGUUCCAUUCCCUCUCUCCGGCCUGCAGCACCGGAUGGAACUUUGGGUUAUCCGGAGCCCCUCCGUGCCGAGCACCGGGGCUGGGACAAACCCACCGCGCAGCCCCUCCCUGGCCGGUGGCCCUGGAGCUCCCGGGCUGGCUGCUGGAACUGCCCUGCCCUGGGGCUUUGCUCCUGCACGGACUGCUGAGGGCCAUGGCCCCGCUGCAGCAGCUCCAGAGGGCGGAAAAUGAAAGCAAACCAAAAGCAAACAGACACUGCUGGUUCUGCCCCUUUCCUGUUUGGCGACUUCUGUUGCAGGGCCUGCAGGGCUCCUGCUGGGCAGGGACACGCGUGGGCAGCAACACGCAGCAGUGGGACAGGGACAGCACUGCACGGAGCUUUGGCGUCGCCCAUCCCCGUGGGACCCGAGGAUGCUCCCAUUGCUGCGCCGGGCCUGGCUGUGCCUCGGAGCUCUGCUGGUUGCCCCCCAUGAGGGGACCCCGCAGCUGCUGAUGGACAUGAGCCGCGACGCCUUCGACGAUCAGUACGAGGGCUGCGCGGCGGCGAUGGAGGCAGCGGGGCCGGCGCUGCUGGAGCGGGAGCGGGCGCGGGGCGAGUCCCGUCUGUUCCGCAGGGUGUGGGGCCGGGCUGGGGAGCGCUGGCAGCGGGUGAAGGGCGCGCUGGCCCCCCGCCUGCCCCUUGGCUUCAAGCUGCCAAGCAAUUGCCUUGGGCAUCCCUUUGUUUUCUUCUGUUCUUCCUUCCUAUCUCUCUCAUCAAACUGUCCCUCUCAGCUGACAAGUUCUCACACUUUUAUCUGUGUCAGUGCUCUGCCCAUCUCCUGGUGUGGCAGUGAGCAAACGGCCAAGUGCUGCAGAGCUGCUGCAGGGUUAAACCACAGCUGUGCUAC
ensembl:lncRNA